rnacentral:rRNA from 1 species
CGCUGGCGGCGUGCCUAAUACAUGCAAGUCGAACGAAGCUUUCUUUCACCGAAUGCUUGCAUUCACCGAAAGAAGCUUAGUGGCGAACGGGUGAGUAACACGUAGGCAACCUGCCCAAAAGAGGGGGAUAACACUUGGAAACAGGUGCUAAUACCGCAUAACCAUGAACACCGCAUGAUGUUCAUGUAAAAGACGGCUUUUGCUGUCACUUUUGGAUGGGCCUGCGGCGUAUUAACUUGUUGGUGGGGUAACGGCCUACCAAGGUGAUGAUACGUAGCCGAACUGAGAGGUUGAUCGGCCACAUUGGGACUGAGACACGGCCCAAACUCCUACGGGAGGCAGCAGUAGGGAAUCUUCCACAACGGACGAAAGUCUGAUGGAGCAACGCCGCGUGAAUGAAGAAGGCCUUCGGGUCGUAAAAUUCUGUUGUCAGAGAAGAACGUGCGUGAGAGUAACUGUUCACGUAUUGACGGUAUCUGACCAGAAAGCCACGGCUAACUACGUGCCAGCAGCCGCGGUAAUACGUAGGUGGCAAGCGUUGUCCGGAUUUAUUGGGCGUAAAGGGAACGCAGGCGGUCUUUUAAGUCUGAUGUGAAAGCCUUCGGCUUAACCGAAGUAGUGCAUUGGAAACUGGAAGACUUGAGUGCAGAAGAGGAGAGUGGAACUCCAUGUGUAGCGGUGAAAUGCGUAGAUAUAUGGAAGAACACCAGUGGCGAAAGCGGCUCUCUGGUCUGUAACUGACGCUGAGGUUCGAAAGCGUGGGUAGCAAACAGGAUUAGAUACCCUGGUAGUCCACGCCGUAAACGAUGAGUGCUAAGUGUUGGAGGGUUUCCGCCCUUCAGUGCUGCAGCUAACGCAUUAAGCACUCCGCCUGGGGAGUACGGUCGCAAGACUGAAACUCAAAUGAAUUGACGG